rnacentral:rRNA from 1 species
ACUUUUAACAAUGGAUCUCUAGGCUCUCAUAUCGAUGAAGAACACAGUGAAAUGUGGUAAUUAAUGUGAAUUGCAGAAUUCAGUGAAUCAUCAAGUUUUUGAACGCACCUUGCACCUUUUGGUAUUCCAAAAGGUACACCUGUUUGAGUGUCA